GUGUCAGCAGCCGCGGUAAUACGUAGGUGGCAAGCGUUGUCCGGAUUUACUGGGCGUAAAGGAUGCGUAGGCGGACAUUUAAGUCAGAUGUGAAAUACCCGAGCUUAACUUGGGUGCUGCAUUUGAAACUGGGUGUCUAGAGUGCAGGAGAGGUAAGUGGAAUUCCUAGUGUAGCGGUGAAAUGCGUAGAGAUUAGGAAGAACACCAGUGGCGAAGGCGACUUACUGGACUGUAACUGACGCUGAGGCAUGAAAGCGUGGGGAGCAAACAGGAUUAGAAACCCCCGUAGUCC
rnacentral:rRNA from 1 species